AUUGAACGCUGGCGGCAUGCCUUACACAUGCAAGUCGAACGGCAGCACGGGGCAACCUGGUGGCGAGUGGCGAACGGGUGAGUAAUGCAUCGGAACGUACCUUUCAGUGGGGGAUAACGUAGCGAAAGUUACGCUAAUACCGCAUAUUCUGUGAGCAGGAAAGCAGGGGAUCGCAAGACCUUGCGCUGAUUGAGCGGCCGAUGUCAGAUUAGCUAGUUGGUGAGGUAAAGGCUCACCAAGGCGACGAUCUGUAGCGGGUCUGAGAGGAUGAUCCGCCACACUGGAACUGAGACACGGUCCAGACUCCUACGGGAGGCAGCAGUGGGGAAUUUUGGACAAUGGGGGCAACCCUGAUCCACCCAUGCCGCGUGAGUGAAGAAGGCCUUCGGGUUGUAAAGCUCUUUCGGCCGGGAAAAAAUCGCAUGGGUUAUUACCCUGUGUGGAUGAUGGUACCGGAAUAAGAAGCACCGGCUAACUACGUGCCAGCCGCCGCGGUAAUAC
rnacentral:rRNA from 1 species